GAUGAACGCUGGCGGCGUGCCUAAUACAUGCAAGUCGAGCGAACAGAUGAGGAGCUUGCUCCUCUGACGUUAGCGGCGGACGGGUGAGUAACACGUGGAUAACCUACCUAUAAGACUGGGAUAACUUCGGGAAACCGGAGCUAAUACCGGAUAAUAUAUUGAACCGCAUGGUUCAAUAGUGAAAGACGGUUUUGCUGUCACUUAUAGAUGGAUCCGCGCCGCAUUAGCUAGUUGGUAAGGUAACGGCUUACCAAGGCAACGAUGCGUAGCCGACCUGAGCGGGUGAGCGGCCACACUGGAACUGAGCCACGUUCCAGACUCCUACGGGAGGCAGCAGUAGGGAAUCUUCCGCAAUGGGCGAAAGCCUGACGGAGCAACGCCGCGUGAGUGAUGAAGGUCUUCGGAUCGUAAAACUCUGUUAUUAGGGAAGAACAAAUGUGUAAGUAACUAUGCACGUCUUGACGGUACCUAAUCAGAAAGCCACGGCUAACUACGUG
rnacentral:rRNA from 1 species